AGGACGAACGCUGGCGGCGUGCUUAACACAUGCAAGUCGAGCGGAAAGGCCCUUCGGGGUACUCGAGCGGCGAACGGGUGAGUAACACGUGAGCAACCUGCCCUUAGCUCCGGGAUAGCUCCGGGAAACCGGAAUUAAAUACCGGAUACGACCACGGCCGACAUCUGCUGUGGUGGAAAGGAUUCCGGCUAAGGAUGGGCUCGCGGCCUAUCAGCUAGUUGGCGGGUAACGGCCCACCAAGGCGAAGAUCGGUA
rnacentral:rRNA from 1 species